rnacentral:lncRNA from 1 species
CAAUGGUCCAUUCUGGUUUUGGAAUCUGACUCUAUAGCACCCUCAGGUAGGAGAAAUAAUUGCCCACUGCCUCCCUUUGAGAAUGCAUGGCAAAGAAGGAAUUGAGCCACAAAAAAGCAGCCCUGGAAAAUCUUGCUAUGGGCUAUAGGUGGUUUCUUGAGUGGUGGCAAUACACGUUCUCCACGCAGUAGACAGUUUGCCCUUCUUCAAGCAGGCACGGACAAGCUCCAUCCAUGAGGGACGUGUCCCGCCUUCUGCCUUCCCGGAUUGGCUGUCGGGUGAGACGUCACUAGCGCCGGUGCAGAGCGCACGGCAGUGGGGGAGGGGCGGCGAGACGGAGCGUUUCCGGGUUGGGAGAGUCGCUGCCGGUGCCGCCGCCGCCGCCGCCGCCGCUUGUGUCCGUCCCGCUCUGAGGCCGCCGCGAUGAAUCGAUUCUUCGGGAAAUCGAAGCCUAAAGUGCCGCCGCCGAACCUCACCGAUUGUAUCGGGACGGUGAGUGUGUGGGUGGGGCGGGGCCAGCCGGGCGGGCACAGGC